GGGAGUUUGGCCGAGUGGUUAAGGCGUUGUGUUUAGGAUUUCCAUUCGUUCUUCACGAAGUCCAUGGAACAUUUGACCCGCAAUGGGAAACCGCGCAGGUUCGAAUCCUGCAGCUCUCA
rnacentral:tRNA from 2 species